rnacentral:pre_miRNA from 1 species
AUAAAGUUCCAUUGGGUAAGAAGUACUACUUGUCAUCAAAAUGGAUAAACGGAGAUGUAUCUAGACGUAUUUUAGUUCUAGAUACGUCCAUUUUUAUCCAUUUUGAUGACAAGUAUUUUCGGACGGAGGGAGCUUAUA